rnacentral:rRNA from 1 species
UACGGGGGGGGGCAAGCGUUGUUCGGAAUUACUGGGCGUAAAGAGCUCGUAGGCGGCUUGUCACGUCGACUGUGAAAACCCGGGGCUCAACUCCGGGCCUGCAGUCGAUACGGGCUGGCUUGAGUGCGGUAGGGGAGACUGGAAUUCCUGGUGUAGCGGUGAAAUGCGCAGAGUAUCAAGGAGGAACACCCGGUGGCGAAGGCGGCGACCUGGGACAAUACUGACGCUGAGGUGCGAAAGCGUGGGGAGCAAACAGG